AACGAACGCUGGCGGCAUGCCUAACACAUGCAAGUCGAACGCCCCGCAAGGGGAGUGGCGAACGGGUGAGUAACGCGUGGGAACCUACCCAGCAGUUGGGGAUAACCGCGGGAAACUGCGGCUAAUACCGAAUACGUCCUAAGGGAGAAAGAUUUAUCGCUGUUGGAGGGGCCCGCGUCGGAUUAGCUAGUUGGUGAGGUAACGGCUCACCAAGGCGACGAUCCGUAGCUGGUCUGAGAGGAUGAUCAGCCACACUGGGACUUAGACACGGCCCAGACUCCUACGGGAGGCAGCAGUGGGGAAUAUUGGACAAUGGGGGCAACCCUGAUCCAGCAAUGCCGCGUGGUCGAUGAAGGCCUUAGGGUUGUAAAGAUCUUUCAGGUGGGAAGAUAAUGACUGUACCACCAGAAGAAGCCCCGGCUAACUCCGUGCCAGCCGCCGCGGUAA
rnacentral:rRNA from 1 species